CAGUCAUAUCGCGUUGAAAUACCGGUUCCCAUACUGCCACCGAAGUUAAGCAACAUUGAGCCUGGUCAGUACCUAGAUUGGUGACCGCUUGAGAAUAUUAGAUGCUGAA